rnacentral:rRNA from 1 species
GAUGAACGCUGGCGGCGUGCUUAACACAUGCAAGUCGAACGAAGCACUUAGGACAGAUUCUUCGGAUGAAGUCCUUAGUGACUGAGUGGCGGACGGGUGAGUAACGCGUGGGUAACCUGCCUCAUACAGGGGGAUAACAGUUAGAAAUGGCUGCUAAUACCGCAUAAGCGCACGGUACCGCAUGGUACAGUGUGAAAAACUCCGGUGGUAUGAGAUGGACCCGCGUUGGAUUAGCUAGUUGGCAGGGUAACGGCCCACCAAGGCGACGAUCCAUAGCCGGCCUGAGAGGGUGGACGGCCACAUUGGGACUGAGACACGGCCCAGACUCCUACGGGAGGCAGCAGUGGGGAAUAUUGCACAAUGGGGGAAACCCUGAUGCAGCGACGCCGCGUGAGUGAAGAAGUAUUUCGGUAUGUAAAGCUCUAUCAACAGGGAAGAAAAUGACGG